ensembl:ncRNA D1009.8 ncRNA
AUCUGUUCGUGUAAAUUAGGUACUCAAAGCGGCAUCGUAGAUCAUUGUCGGGCCGAGGCGGCUCGUUUACGAGGCGCCGUAACUCAAAAUAUGUUGCAAUUUUGAUUAGCACGUAAAUUGUC